GGGGGGGGCUGGCGUCACGACAGCAGAAGCCGGCCGGAGGGUGGUCCUGGCCCUGCACUCUGCCUUAUCUGUGAGCUCGUGACAAGUGCCUUCUGGGGGACACCCUCACAUUCUUGGGCAAAGGGGGAUACUUUCAGUGGGGCUCUGGGUCCUGCACCUUUCAGAGGGUUCUUGCUGUAAACAGUGACCUUGCCUCUGGGGUGCAGUUAUGAUACGACCACCAUCUAGGUCAUGCCCGACCCGGCUCCAGGCGGCAGCCCCUUGCAGAGAGGGACAGUGUCUCAUCUCCCCAGGGCUGGAGCACGCUGGGCGUCACACGGUGUUACCACCCACGAUUGGAAUGGAAUUGAGUGCAUCCGGGCCGGACCUGGGCUGGGCCGGGGUCUGCCUCCCCUCCCCCCCCAUCCCGGGGCACCCCCUGCCGUGCCUCUAGCUCUGCAGAGAGCCGGACGGGGUUGCCGGGCCCUGGUCCUCGGGCCGAGCUGUCCAAACGCCGGGCAGGCUCUACCCCGUCCCCUGACCCUCGUCCAGGCCUGGGCUUCACAUGGGGUGAGGUCAUAGCUUAUGUCACUUGGGGACCUCAAAGACCAUCCCAGGCCACACCUCAGCCUGCGAUAAGACUCAUCAGCCCACAUCAGUGGGUGACUCAGAGGGUGGGGUGGCCAGGGGUCAGUGACCUGGGAGCAUCUGUCUGCCGUCCCCUCCCCUUGGCAUCCACCACACUUAGAGGAAGCGAGUCCCUCUGAGAGGACGACCUUACCCUUCCCGGGGGGGAAGGAAACCUGGGGGCCUGGCAGGGGGCCACUCCAGGACCCGGGGAUUGGAGGGCCUUCCUGAGUGGGUGGCAUUCGAGAGGGGCUCCGACCACCAGGGCAGGGGCUGCAGGAAGGGGGUGCAAGAAGGCAGGACACCUGGAGGGACAAGAUGAUUCCUCAGCUCCCGGUCCUUCAGGGUCAGCGACAGAAAGCCCCGCUCCAACUGGCCUCAACAAAAGGGAAUUGACGCGGUGGGCUGGCAUCAGGUAUGGCCCGAUCCAGGGACUCCCAAUGUCCUCCGGCCCGUGUGGAUUGUGUUCCCCUGGUGCUGGCUGCAUGACGGCCACCAGCAGAACCAGGCACCGUGCUCCAGGGUGAGUCCCCAGCAGCCCUGCAGAAGUCUCAGUGCAUCUCAUUGGCCCUGGUGGCUCUCCUGUCCAUCCCUGACCUAGUCACGGAGGCAACAGAGUCCGGAGCUGCGUCCCGUCCGUGUCUGAUCACCUGCGGGCUCGGCGUUCUCCAGAGGACGAUGGUCCCCGCUGGCAGGAAGGUGUAUCCAGAGACCGAGCUGACAGAGGUGCUGGGUGACUGCACCGGGAGACGUGAGCAUCCCCUUCCCAGGCUUCCUGGCAGGGCCUCUGCUCACACACCUCUGAUGACGGGGAGCUCACCGCCAUCAAAGCAGUCCCUUCGGUUACUAGAAUGUUCUUCCUUUGAGUUAAAUUCUGCUCCUGUAACUCCCACCUUUGGACUCCGCUCGACCCCACAAGGCUGUAGAGAAUACAUCAGUCCCCUCAUGGACAAAAGGAGGCCAUAAACACCUGAGGCGGGUCCCCAGUUCUUUCUUCUCUAGUCAUUUGCUAGGUGACCUGGGGCCCCAGUUUCUUACCUACUGGAGGAUGAGAAGAAAGAGGCUUCCUCCUGGGGCUCCCAAGAGCCAAAGGAGGAGAUGGGUGGGGUGCUAGGAUGCCCCCCAAGAUUCCUGCCCCUGGUAUGCACACCCUGCGUAAUUCCCUUCCCCUUGACUGUGGGUGGGCCUGACCUAAUCAGGCAAGCCCUCAAAAGGAACUGGACCCUUCCUGAAGUCAGAGGCUUAAAGCGUAGACAGCUUGGAAGUUCGAGGGGCCCAGGAAGCGGGCCGCGGGGCAAGGACCUGGGGCAAUCUCUAGGAGCUGAGCAGACCCCAGCUGACAGCCAGCAAGAAGAUGGGAACCACAGUCCUGCAACCACGAGGAAUGAAUUCUGCCAACACCCGAAGAUGCUUUCCUCGCUGAGCCUCCGGUCGGGGUGCUGCCGGCCGACCCCCUGCGAGACUUUGAGCCAGGACGAGCCACAGCGUGCCAGCCUCUUGACCCACGGAGACAGCGAGGCAAUGAAGGAGGAAAACCGAGGCCCGGGAAGGGCAAGUGGGUUGCUGAGACAACCAGGCUAAUCGACAUAAGGUCACGGGGACUGAGCCUCUCCCCUGCAGCGGCGCGAACCCUUUUACCACGUCCUCCGAAGCAGCUGCUGUUACUGACGUGCUCGUUUCACACAUUAAGAAAGCGGGGCCCAGAGAGGUCCAAUGACGUCCCGAGGUCACACGGCAAGCGAGCCACAGAAUCCGGAUUCAAACCCAGGCAGCGGGACUGGUACCUCUCGUGCGCAAGUUGGUUGGGAACUAGCCGACGCCGAGGCCCAGGCAGGGAGGCUGAGCCAAGAUGGGCAGGGUAGGGGCCCGGCUGAUGGAAAUGAUGAAAUCGGGGCCCCCGGCCAGCAGGGCUUGGGCUCUUCCUUUUAAGACAACAACCCUCGGCUUUGUCUGCAGCCCAGGCCCUUCUUGGAAAUCACCCCACCCUGCCCCAUCCCCCACGGGGGAGGUGUUGGACGUGACCCCUCUCCUGGGAGGAUACGGCCUGUCUGUUCCGUCAGGCUCGGCUGCUCUCAGGACCGCCAGCCCCACCCACCGGGCUGGUGGCCGCGGGCCUCCACCGCCUGCCUCCCGGGAGCCGUCCGGCCUUCAGGCCCCGAGGCCCUUCUCCGGCCUCGUGGGAGCCUCGGGCCGGGCGAUGCCCCGGGACAGUCACUCUGGCCGUCCAGGGUGUCAGGCAUGGGCAAACCUGCCAGGAGCCACGGGCAGGAGUCUGGAACCCCUUUCCCUGCGCCCCUGGGCCGAGCCGCUCUUCAGACCCCGUGAGCUGUGUCCUCCGGGGUCCCCGCGGGCCAGCUGUGUGUGAGCCAGAGACAAAAUAGCUCAGAGCUGAGGGCGAGGGGGGCGCUGAUGGCCGUCUGGGGCCCCCCUCAAAGCUUUCACGUGGUGACAGGACACAGGUGCCCCCAGGAGCCCCCCUCCAACGAUCCCAGCGCCAAGUCAUUUCUGGGCGACUGCUGUGUUCCCUGCAGUUUGAGUCCCCACGUGUCCCGGUGGAGGGUCUCCUACCAUUCCCACGUCACAGGGAAGAACACUGAGGCUCAGAGAGCUUAAGUGACUCGCCCCAGGUCACACAGCGGGCCCUGAUUUGGGGGGGCGGUGUGGGCUGGGGAAUACCGAAGGUGCUCAGUUGGAGGCUGGGGUCACGCAGUCACAAAGUGACGUGCUCCGGGCCAGAGCUAGAGCCCCCCCCCCCCACACACACACCCAGGGGUCGUCCCAAGGGGCUUGCAUACCUUCCGGGAAGGGAGCGCCUCUCACACACCCCCCGGGGCAGCCUGCCUGCCUCGUUCUUCCAGCAUCUCCUCUGUCGGCAGCGCCCCACGCCCCACGUUGUCCUGCCAGGCUGGGGUCCCCACAGCUCCCUGGGCCUCUCAGCCUGGACCCAGCGCCCACCCUGCAGCCACUUCAGGUUGGGGCCGCAGGUCACGCUGUCUUCCUAGAACUGCUCCCCACUUUCCCAGUCCACAGGAGCCAAGUUUCAGGUCCUAGCGCCUUUCAAGGGUAGGCCCUGAUUGGCCCAGCGCAUGGGCAUGUCCCGCCCUCCUUCCACGGUGAUUGGUUCAGGUGUGGGUCCCCUAACCCAUGAGAGUCAAUUCCACUUAAGGAGCCAGUUGCCUGAGCUUCUGGCUGGAGGAGAUUUUUCCCUCCAGCCCAGUCUUUUUCUUUCUUCAGAUGUGAGAAUCAGGACCCGUGACUCUGUAACCAUCUGAUGACCUUGAGGGGAGUGUCUGCCUUGGCACGAAGCCACAUGAGAAGUGGAACUGAGAGGAGAGAAAGAGCAGAGCCUGGAUCCUGGAUCCUGGAUCAUGCCACGCCUGAAGCUGUACUCUGUUCUCAGUGAAUUAAGUCAAUAAUCAGCUGGGUUGGGUGUCCUGUGGUUACCCGCAACUUAGAUUGUUGCACAGAGGCCUUGUGCAGCUGGACCCCGACAGUAAAUAUAGAUUCACAAGGAGCACUCAGCCCAGGGGCGGGGGUUAUGCACCUACUGUUUACAGAGCGCCCAUGAUGUGCUGGGCACUGUCCCCUUUAUGUGCACACCGGGCCCCCACUUUACGCGUGGGGACCUGAGGCUAAGGCCUGUGAAAUGGCGGCUGGGGCUUGGCCCCUGCUUUGUCUCACCCAGAGCCUGUGUGGCUCCCCCUCCCCAGGCGGCCCGACCCCAGCGGCGGCCCAGAGCCCGGCCUCACUGGACAUCUGGAACCGGGAGCAUCUGGCUGCAGGCGGGAGGCCCGGGCAUGGCUGGCGCCCGGAGCUCGCGGGGGGCGCACGGUGUAACCACAAGCCAGCUCCGUGACGCAGCCGGCUCCCGACCCCGCGUGCUCAGGCUCUGACGCGUCCUGCCUGCCAUGUGACUGUCAGAGCCCCCUCUCUCCUCCUUCGCACGGGCACACCUGGCCUCCGUACUCUUGUGCCACUCAGAGGCUGCCAGGGCACCAGCCGACCAGCCGGCAGAGACCGGGGCCCCGGGCACUGAGUGCCCCCCUCCUUGAGGGCAGCUGCGCCCCACGCCUCCCACCCUCCUGGACGACGGUCUCUGCCCUCCGCCUACCUGUCCCGCCUUUGGCUUUCAUCCACCCUCCGACCCGCCCUGCCCCUGCCCCAGGUCCUGGCUGGCAACCCCUCGUUCCCAGGACGCCUCACAGCAGGGACUUCCUCCUCUGUCCCUCUGGGGUUCCGACUGCACACCCCAUCUCUGGCAUCUCCGGUUUGGAAAACUGUACCGGCUUCAGUGGCACGUGAUUCACACGCCACACAAAGUACACGCGUCCGUGCGUUUUCAUGUGUUCACAGACGUGUGCAGGCGUCCCCACACUUAAUUUUAGGACGCCCCCGAACAAACCCUGCGCCCGUUAGCUGCCACUCCCCCCCCGCCCCCCAGCAACCAGUAAUGUGCCUCCUCUGUCCCUGCAGACCCGCCCUCUCCGGACAUGUCAGGCACGUGGAGCCCUACAGGCGUGGCACCUGUCGGCGCUCUGUUCCCUUUCACGGCUGCACAGGGGGUCCACCGCACGGACACGCGACGCUUGGUUCAUCCAGUCACCGUCAAGGAGCAUUUGGGAGCGCACUCCCGGGAGCAGAAUUGCCGGGGCUCGCGGACCGACCUCUGGAGGAGCUGCCAGCCCGUCUUCCCGGGUGACCGUAGUGCCCUUCGCCCCCGCCAGCAGCGCCCCGGGCUCCCGCCCUCUGCCUCCUUGCCAACCCUUGCUACUUUCCGUCUCCUAAAAAUGCUUAAAAGUCACCCUAAUAUAUGUGAAGGGCGUCUCUUUGUGGUUUCGAUUUGCAUUUCCCUGACGGCUCAUGAUGUUUGUGUGCUUUUCGGCCAUUUGUAUGUUCUCCUUGGAGAAAUGUCUGUUCAGAUCCUUUGCCCGUCCUUAAAUUGGGGGGCCUUUUGAAAUUAUUGAGUCGCAGGAGUUACCUGUAUGUUCUGGAUAAAAGUCCCUUAUCGAAUAUAUGA